AACGAACGCUGGCGGCAUGCCUAACACAUGCAAGUCGAACGAUUGCCUUCGGGUGAUAGUGGCGCACGGGUGCGUAACGCGUGGGAAUCUGCCCUUAGGUUCGGAAUAACAGCUGGAAACGGCUGCUAAUACCGGAUGAUAUCGCGAGAUCAAAGAUUUAUCGCCUGAGGAUGAGCCCGCGUUGGAUUAGGUAGUUGGUGGGGUAAAGGCCUACCAAGCCGACGAUCCAUAGCUGGUCUGAGAGGAUGAUCAGCCACACUGGGACUGAGACACGGCCCAGACUCCUACGGGAGGCAGCAGUGGGGAAUAUUGGACAAGGGGCGCAAGCCUGAUCCAGCAAUGCCGCGUGAGUGAUGAAGGCCCUAGGGUUGUAAAGCUCUUUUACCCGGGAAGAUAAUGACUGUACCGGGGGAAUAAGCCCCGGCGAACUCCG
rnacentral:rRNA from 1 species